AGCCUCGCGAGAGUUGGGCCCCGCCCCCGCCCUGCCUUCCCCCGCUCUCGCGAGCGCCGCGCUCUUUCUCUUCCUUCCCUCACGCUGACAAGAUGCCUUCCAGACUAAGGAAGACCCGGAAGCUGAGAGGGCACGUUAGCCACGGCCACGGCCGCGUUGGCAAACACAGGAAACAUCCCGGAGGGCGUGGUAAUGCUGGUGGUUUGCACCAUCACAGGAUUAACUUUGAUAAAUAGUAAGCUAACACUUUAAAUAUAUACUACCAAAAUGCAUGCUCGUGAAGUAGAAACACCUAACAAAACUUCC